rnacentral:rRNA from 1 species
UCCUACGGGGCGCAGCAGUGGGGAAUAUUGCACAAUGGGGGAAACCCUGAUGCAGCAACGCCGCGUGAGUGAAGAAGUAUCUCGGUAUGUAAAGCUCUAUCAGCAGGGAAGAAAAUGACGGUACCUGACUAAGAAGCCCCGGCUAACUACGUGCCAGCAGCCGCGGUAAUACGUAGGGGGCAAGCGUUAUCCGGAUUUACUGGGUGUAAAGGGAGCGUAGACGGCAGCGCAAGUCUGGAGGGAAAUGCCGGGGCUCAACCCCGGAACUGCUUUGGAAACUGUGCAGCUAGAGUGCGUGAGAGGUA